rnacentral:rRNA from 1 species
GGGAAUAUUGCACAAUGGGGGAAACCCUGAUGCAGCAACGCCGCGUGGAGGAUGACGCAUUUCGGUGUGUAAACUCCUUUUAUUAGGGAAGAAAUUUGACGGUACCUAAUGAAUAAGCACCGGCUAACUCCGUGCCAGCAGCCGCGGUAAUACGGAGGGUGCAAGCGUUACUCGGAAUCACUGGGCGUAAAGGACGCGUAGGCGGUUUGAUAAGUUGGAUGUGAAAUCCCAUGGCUUAACCAUGGAACUGCAUCCAAAACUGUCAGACUAGAAUGAGGGAGAGGUCAGUGGAAUUAGUGGUGUAGGGGUAAAAUCCGUAGAGAUCACUAGGAAUACUCAUUGCGAAGGCGACUGACUGGAACUUUAUUGACGCUGAGGCGUGAAAGCGUGGGGAGCAAACA